CAGCGUCGGCAGAGCAGGCUGCAGCCUGCAGGCGACCGCGACGGUUCUUGUGCAUUUUUUUAACCGCGUCGGGCAUAUUUCAACAGAGAGUUAUUAACCUGAAAUGGCAGGCUAUAAUGGACAUGGAGAACAAAAGAGAAGAAGCCAUGUUGAUUGUGUGCCCACUCUGAUUAUAUGUAUAUCCAUUCUCUGUCCAUUCUGUGUGCCCCUUUAUAUUUGAACUUUGAUAAAUCUUUGCACCUACAUCUGUAUAACAACCCAUUGAUAAUUGCUUUCAACCAUAUUCAUACACCUAGCUUCCUUCAGGCAUUUCUUUAUGUACACUACUCUCACAUCUAAGUAUUUUGUUGACGCCGUGCAAUCUAAUGGAUAUUUGCUACGGCAAACAAAUUUAAAAAGCGGAAGCCAUCGAGAAAAUGAAGUGCCAACUAGACCUCCUCAUAAGUUGUUUAAUUGAUUAUCUAAACCUUAUUUACUAAUUCUGGAUAGAUAAGUUAGCUAUAUGAAAUGUGCUUCUAGAUCCUCCAUGUUCCAGUAAUGGCACAAAUUCAUUUAUAUUAUACCUAAUGUGACUUUUUUGUUUGCGAUGAAAACUACAGAGAGAUGAUAGGUAGAACCACCUCUAUUCACCUUUGCACUUUCUUGAAAAGAAGCAAUUCAAACAGUCCUGCUCAAAGAUGUGUCAGACCAUCUGGGAAACACACAUAUCGAGAGACUACA